ACGUAGGGAGCAAGCGUUGUCCGGAAUUACUGGGCGUAAAGGGCGCGUAGGCGGGAUAUUAAGUUAGGUGUGAAAACUCCGGGCUCAACUUGGAGACUGCACUUAAAACUGGUAUUCUUGAGGACAGGAGAGGAAAGUGGAAUUCCUAGUGUAGCGGUGAAAUGCGUAGAUAUUAGGAGGAACACCAGUGGCGAAGGCGGCCACCUGGCCGGCAACUGACGCUGAGGUGCGAAAGCGUGGGGAUCAAACAG
rnacentral:rRNA from 1 species